CAAUCAACGAAAGGAGGUGAUCCAGUGUCUUUUACCGAGCGCUGUCACCUCGCUGGGAUCGCCCGCUAGGCUUUGAAAGAGGCUUGGCAUCGGGGCGCUCUCAGCCCUGGACCAGCGAGCAAGAAAUCGGGCGCGACGGGAUCUUCCCGCCGCGCC
rnacentral:sRNA from 1 species